rnacentral:rRNA from 1 species
UACGUAGGGCGCAAGCGUUGUUCGGAUUUACUGGGCGUACAGGGAGCGUAGGCGGUUGGAUAAGCCCUCCGUGAAAUCUCCAGGCUUAACCUGGAAAGUGCAGAGGGGACUGUUCAGCUAGAGGAUGGGAGAGGAGCGCGGAAUUCCCCGGUGUAGCGGUGAAAUGCGUAGAGAUCGGGAGGAAGGCCGGUGGCGAAGGCGGCGACCUGGGUAGAUACUGACGCUGAGGUGCGAAAGCGUGGGGAGCAAACAGG